GUUUUAGAUCCCGUACAAUAUAUGUAGCCUUUACAUUAAUCAUAUGCAGAAAAAGAAAUAAUUUGUAAGAAUAGUAAAAGAUUAAAGUUUUAUUUUGAUAAAAAAUAUUAACAAAUACUUAUCAUCAUUCAGGCUAAGGAUCGGAUUGGGCAAGCAUUAGACGACAAUGAAUGUAACGAUCUUGUUGAUUCCAGACUGCAAGAAUAUAACGAGGAAGAAAUGAUAAGAAUGAUUUGUUGCGCUGCAGCUUCGGUGUAUAAACCUUCACAUUCUCGGCCAACAAUGAAACAGAUAAUUAAAGUGCUUGAAGGAACUAUGCCUCAUGUGAAGAUUAUGAAUUGGAAAGACAUCGAAACU
rnacentral:misc_RNA from 1 species